rnacentral:rRNA from 1 species
UACGUAGGGGGCAAGCGUUGUCCGGAUUUAUUGGGCGUAAAGAGCGUGUAGGCGGCCAUGCAGGUCCGUUGUGAAAACUCGAGGCUCAACCUCGAGACGCCGAUGGAAACCGCAUGGCUAGAGUCCGGAAGAGGAGAGUGGAAUUCCUGGUGUAGCGGUGAAAUGCGCAGAUAUCAGGAAGAACACCCGUGGCUAAGGCGGCUCUCUAGUACGGUACUGACGCUGAGGAGCGAAAGCCAGGGGAGCAAACGGG